UACGUAGAAGACUAGUGUUAUUCAUCUUUAAUAGGUUUAAAGGGUACCUAGACGGUAUAAUUAGUCUAAAAAUAAGAUACGGUUAUACUAGGAGUUAUAUAUGAGGAGGUGAGUAUUUAUGGAGUAGAGUUGAAAUUCUGUCAUCCCCAUAACGACUGGUAACGGCGAAAGCAACCUUUUAUCUAAUAACUGACGUUGAGGGACGAAGGCUCGGGUAACGAACAGG
rnacentral:rRNA from 1 species